GCGAGAGUGGUGGAACUGGUAGACACACUGGACUUAGGAUCCAGCUCCGGUUACGGAAUGGGAGUUCGACUCUCCCCUCUCGCACCA
rnacentral:tRNA from 1 species